rnacentral:rRNA from 1 species
GGUCAAGUUAUUAAGGGUGCAGGGCGGAUGCCUUGGCACUAGGAGCCGAUGAAGGACGUGAUAAGCUGCGAUAAGCUUCGGGGAGUUGCACGUAAACUUUGAUCCGAAGAUUUCCGAAUGAGGAAACUCACUUAGAGUAAUGUCUAAGUAUCAUUAAGUGAAUACAUAGCUUAAUGAGGGGAACUCAGGGAACUGAAACAUCUAAGUACCUGAAGGAAGAGAAAGAAAUUCGAUUCCGUAAGUAGCGGCGAGCGAACGCGGAUUAGCCCAAACCAAUAAAGUUUUCUUUAUUGGGGUUGCGGACAUAUCAUAACGAAGAGGUAUCGUAAUUGAAGAGGUUUGGAAAGACCCACCACAGAAGGUAAUAGUCCUGUAUGUUAAACGAGAAGACUUCAGAUAUGAUCCAGAGUACCACGGGACACGUGAAACCCUGUGGGAAGCAGGAGGGACCACCCUCCAAGGCUAAAUACUACCUAGUGACCGAUAGCGUAUAGUACCGUGAGGGAAAGGUGAAAAGAACCCCGGGAGGGGAGUGAAAUAGAACCUGAAACCCUGCACUUACAAGCUGUGGAAGCACAUUUCUUGUGUGACCGCGUACUUUUUGUAGAACGGGCCAACGAGUUACGUUAAGUAGCAAGGUUAAGCACUUAAGGUGUGGAGCCGUAGCGAAAGCGAGUUUUAACUGAGCGUUCAGUUACUUGACGUAGACCCGAAACCGGGCGACCUACCCAUGAGCAGGAUGAAGCGAAAGUAAAAUUUCGUGGAGGUCCGAACCCACGAGCGUUGAAAAGCUCGGGGAUGACUUGUGGGUAGCGGUGAAAUUCCAAUCGAGCCCGGAGAUAGCUGGUUCUCCCCGAAAUAGCUUUAGGGCUAGCCUCAAGGUGAGAGAUACGGAGGUAGAGCACUGAAUGUCCUAGGGGGUAUUGCACCUACCGAAGACUAUCAAACUCCGAAUGCCGUCAUCUUAUACUUGGGAGUCAGACUGUGGGUGAUAAGAUUCAUAGUCGAAAGGGCAACAGCCCAGAUCGUCAGCUAAGGUCCCUAAAUGUAAGUUAAGUGGUAAAGGAUGUGGGAUUGCACAGACAACCAGGAUGUUGGCUUAGAAGCAGCCACUCAUUCAAAGAGUGCGUAAUAGCUCACUGGUCGAGUGAUCCUGCGCCGAAGAUUUCCGGGGCUAAAACUUACUACCGAAGCUACGGCAUCAGUAAUGAUGGGUAGGGGAGCUUCCCAUACGGGUUGAAGCAUGACCGUAAGGACAUGUGGACAGUAUGGGAGUGAGAAUGUUGGCAUGAGUAGCGAGAUGUGGGUGAGAAUCCCACAGGCCGUAAACCCAAGGUUUCCAGGGGAAGGUUCGUCCGCCCUGGGUUAGUCGGGACCUAAGCUGAGGCCGAAAGGCGUAGGUGAUGGACAACAGGUUGAUAUUCCUGUACUACCGAUAACCGUUUGAGAGAAGGGAUGACACAGUAGGAUAAGCUAAGCACACUGUUGGUUAUGUGUGCCCAAGCAUUGAGGCAGUCAAAGUAGGCAAAUCCGCUUUGAUAAUGCUGGGAUGUGAUGGGGAGCGAAAUUUAGUAGCGAAGUAGCUGAUUUCACACUGUCAAGAAAAGUCUCUAUCGAGGUUAAAGGUACCCGUACCGCAAACCGACACAGGUGGGUGAGGAGAGUAUCCUAAGGCCAGCGAGAGAACUGUUGUUAAGGAACUCGGCAAAAUGACCCCGUAACUUAGGGAUAAGGGGUGCCACCAUCAGGUGGCCGCAGAGAAUAGGCCCAAGCGACUGUUUACCAAAAACAUAGGUUUCUGCUAAGUCGCAAGACGAUGUAUAGGAGCUGACGCCUGCCCGGUGCUGGAAGGUUAAGGGGAUCUGUUAGAGCAAUCGAAGCAGUGAACUUAAGCCCCAGUAAACGGCGGCCGUAACUAUAACGGUCCUAAGGUAGCGAAAUUCCUUGUCGGGUAAGUUCCGACCCGCACGAAAGGCGUAACGAUUUGGGCACUGUCUCAACAACAGACUCGGUGAAAUUGUAAUUCCGGUGAAGAUGCCGGAUACCUGCGACAGGACGGAAAGACCCCAUGGAGCUUUACUGUAGCUUGACAUUGGGUUUUGGUACUACAUGUACAGGAUAGGUGGGAGGCUUUGAAACCAGGACGCCAGUUUUGGCGGAGCCAUCCUUGGGAUACCACCCUUGUAGUACUGGGACUCUAACCAUAGGCCAUGAAUCUGGUCUUGGGACACUGUCAGGUGGGCAGUUUGACUGGGGCGGUCGCCUCCCAAAAGGUAACGGAGGCGCUCAAAGGUUCUCUCAGUACGGUCGGAAAUCGUACGUAGAGUGUAAAGGCAAAAGAGAGCUUGAUUGCAAGACAUACAGGUCGAGCAAGGAUGAAAAUCGGACUUAGUGAUCCGGUGGUUCUGCGUGGAAGGGCCAUCGCUCAACGGAUAAAAGCUACCCUGGGGAUAACAGGCUUAUCUCCCCCAAGAGUCCACAUCGACGGGGAGGUUUGGCACCUCGAUGUCGGCUCAUCACAUCCUGGGGCUGUAGUAGGUCCCAAGGGUUGGGCUGUUCGCCCAUUAAAGUGGUACGCGAGCUGGGUUCAGAACGUCGUGAGACAGUUCGGUCCCUAUCCGUCGCAGGCGUAGGAAAUUUGAGAAGACCUGUCCUUAGUACGAGAGGACCGGGAUGGACGUACCUCUGGUGUACCAGUUGUUCUGCCAAGGGCAUGGCUGGGUAGCUAUGUACGGAAUGGAUAAGCGCUGAAAGCAUCUAAGCGCGAAGCCAACUUCAAGAUAAGAUUUCCCACCGCAAGGGUAAGACCCCAGAAAGACUAUCUGGUUGAUAGGUCGAAGGUGUAAGUGCAGCAAUGUAUUUAGCUUAUCGAUACUAAUAGGUCGAGGACUUGACCAA